GACGAACGCUGGCGGCGUGCUUAACACAUGCAAGUCGAACGGAAAGGCCCUGCUUUUGUGGGGUGCUCGAGUGGCGAACGGGUGAGUAACACGUGAGUAGCCUGCCCUUGACUUUGGGAUAACUUCAGGAAACUGGAGCUAAUACCGGAUAGGAGCUCCUGCUGCAUGGUGGGGGUUGGAAAGUUUCGGCGGUUGGGGAUGGACUCGCGGCUUAUCAGCUUGUUGGUGGGGUAGUGGCUUACCAAGGCUUUGACGGGUAGCCGGCCUGAGAGGGUGACCGGCCACAUUGGGACUGAGAUACGGCCCAGACUCCUACGGGAGGCAGCAGUGGGGAAUAUUGCACAAUGGGCGGAAGCCUGAUGCAGCAACGCCGCGUGCGGGAUGACGGCCUUCGGGUUGUAAACCGCUUUCGCCUGUGACGAAGCGUGAGUGACGGUAAUGGGUAAAGAAGCACCGGCUAACUACGUG
rnacentral:rRNA from 1 species